GAGUUUGAUCCUGGCUCAGAUUGAACGCUGGCAGCAUGCCUUACACAUGCAAGUCGAGCGGCAGCGCGGGGGCAACCCUGGCGGCGAGCGGCGCACGGGUGAGUAAUGCAUCGGAACGUGUCCUCUUGUGGGGGAGUAACCAGUCGAAAGACUGGCUAAUACCGCAUGAGCACGAGAGUGGAAAGCGGGGGACCGUAAGGCCUCGCGCGAGAGGAGCGGCCGAUGCCGGAUUAGCUAGUUGGUGGGGUAAAGGCCUACCAAGGCGACGAUCCGUAGCUGGUUUGAGAGAACGACCAGCCAUACUGGGACUGAGACACGGCCCAGACUCCUACGGGAGGCAGCAGUGGGGAAUUUUGGACAAUGGGGGCGAACCCUGAUCCAGCCAUGCCGCGUGUGUGAAGAAGGCC
rnacentral:rRNA from 1 species